rnacentral:lncRNA from 12 species
GUUCCUAUUUUUUCUUUCAUAGUUUGUUUUCAGACAAAGUCAAAAGAGUUUGACAAUUUUCCAAAUAAAUUACGAUUUUUAAAUUUUCUUUUUUUUUUUUUUCUUUUUCCAGGAAGCAACAAUUUAUCAAAAGCUGAAGUUCUAUGUAACUACAUUCCUGAAGACUUUCCAGAUUGUAUCAAUACGUAGCCAGUGGUCCAGAAAGGAAAUGACUAAGAGGAAUUUAUGAAACAUGUGCAAAAAGAGAGGAACUGAUUCAAACUUCAGCGCUCACGGAGCACCUCUGAGACAUAGACCUGGAUCUUGUCCAAGGGCACCAGCUGGAUGCAAAGCUCCAAGGCUGCCGAGAUUAAAUUAGUUUACACUCCACAAGCAAUUAUCCUAGUACAAACUACUCUUGACCAGAAGACAGAAUGACCAGUCUCAGGAGACAACAGUAACAAAGUCCAGUCUGCUACACUGACGAGAAGAGAAUAAAGUAAAGCAGUUUCAAUUAACACAACUUCUUUUGUAUAAAAUCUGCCGAGGGUGUCCUUCAAUGACAUUGACAGAAUUACCUGCAUACCAUCGGCAUAUUAGCC